GACGAACGCUGGCGGCGUGCUUAACACAUGCAAGUCGAACGGAAAGGCCCUGCUUUUGUGGGGUGCUCGAGUGGCGAACGGGUGAGUAACACGUGAGUAACCUUCCCUUGACUUUGGGAUAACAUCAGGAAACUGGGGCUAAUACCGGAUAGGAGCUCCUGCUGCAUGGUGGGGGUUGGAAAGUUUCGGCGGUUGGGGAUGGACUCGCGGCUUAUCAGCUUGUUGGUGGGGUAGUGGCUUACCAAGGCUUUGACGGGUAGCCGGCCUGAGAGGGUGACCGGCCACAUUGGGACUGAGAUACGGCCCAGACUCCUACGGGAGGCAGCAGUGGGGAAUAUUGCACAAUGGGCGGAAGCCUGAUGCAGCAACGCCGCGUGCGGGAUGACGGCCUUCGGGUUGUAAACCGCUUUCGCCUGUGACGAAGCGUGAGUGACGGUAAUGGGUAAAGAAGCACCGGCUAACUACGUG
rnacentral:rRNA from 1 species